UACGUAGGGGGCUAGCGUUGUCCGGAAUCAUUGGGCGUAAAGAGCGUGUAGGCGGCUCGGUAAGUCCGCUGUGAAAGUCCAGGGCUCAACCCUGGGAUGCCGGUGGAUACUGUCGAGCUCGAGUCCGGAAGAGGCGAGUGGAAUUCCUGGUGUAGCGGUGAAAUGCGCAGAUAUCAGGAGGAACACCAAUUGCGAAGGCAGCUCGCUGGGACGUUACUGACGCUGAGACGCGAAAGCGUGGGGAGCAAACAGG
rnacentral:rRNA from 1 species